CCUACGGUGGGCAGCAGUGAGGAAUAUUGGUCAAUGGCCGAGAGGCUGAACCAGCCAAGUCGCGUGAGGGAAGACGGCCCUACGGGUUGUAAACCUCUUUUGUCGGGGAGCCAAGCGAGUCACGUGUGACUCAUUGCGAGUACCCGAAGAACACGCAUCGGCUAACUCCGUGCCCGCAGCCGCGGUAAUCCGGAGGAUGCGAGCGUUAUCCGGAUUUAUUGGGUUUAAAGGGUGCGCAGGCGGAGGUGCAAGUCAGCGGUCAAAUUGCGGGGCUCAACCCCGUACUGCCGUUGAAACUGCAGCCCUUGAGUGCGCGAGAAGUAGGCGGAAUGCGUGGUGUAGCGGUGAAAUGCAUAGAGAGCACGCAGAACUCCGAUUGCGAAGGCAGCAUACCGGAGCGCAACUGACGCUCAUGCACGAAAGCGUGGGUAUCGAACAGGAUUAGAUACCCUUGUAGUC
rnacentral:rRNA from 1 species